rnacentral:rRNA from 1 species
GGAGUACGGCCGCAAGGUUAAAACUCAAAUGAAUUGACGGGGGCCCGCACAAGCGGUGGAGCAUGUGGUUUAAUUCGAUGCAACGCGAAGAACCUUACCUGGUCUUGACAUCCACAGAACUUUCCAGAGAUGGAUUGGUGCCUUCGGGAACUGUGAGACAGGUGCUGCAUGGCUGUCGUCAGCUCGUGUUGUGAAAUGUUGGGUUAAGUCCCGCAACGAGCGCAACCCUUAUCCUUUGUUGCCAGCGGUUCGGCCGGGAACUCAAAGGAGACUGCCAGUGAUAAACUGGAGGAAGGUGGGGAUGACGUCAAGUCAUCAUGGCCCUUACGACCAGGGCUACACACGUGCUACAAUGGCAUAUACAAAGAGAAGCGACCU